GCCGCGGUAAUACGUAGGUCUCAAGCGUUGUCCGGAUUUACUGGGCGUAAAGUGUCCGUAGUCUGAAUUGUAAGUCUGUUUUCAAAUCCUACGACUCAAUCGUAGAAAGGGAGUGGAUACUGCAAUUCUGGAAGUAUCUGGGGGUUAGUGGAAUUUCCGGUGGAGCGGUGAAAUGCGUUGAUAUCGGAAGGAACGCCGAAAGCGAAAGCAGCUAACUACAGAAUACUUGACGAUGAGGGACGACAGUUCGGGUAGCAAACAGGAUUAGAUACCCUGGUAGUCCGAACCGUAAAUUAUGCUUGCUAGAUGUUUUUGUCAAUUUAUUGGCAGGAGUGUCGUAAUCUAACGAGUUAAGCAAGUCGCCUGGGUAGUAUAUUCGCAAGAAUGAAACUCAAAGGGAUAGGCGGGGGAACACACAAGCAGUGGAUUAUCUAGAUUAAUUGGAUAAUAAGCCAAGAAUCUUACCUAGGAUUGACAUGUAUUGUGUCUGCGGUGAAAGUCGCAUAUCCGUAGCAAUACGGAGCUUUACACAGAUGGUGCAUGGUCGUCGUCAGCUCGUGCCGCAAGGUGUCUAGUUAAGUCUGGAAACGAGCGCAACCCUCAUGCUUAGUUAGUAUGUCUAAGCAGACUGCUCGGGUAACCGAGAGGAAGGAGAGGAUGACGUCAGAUCCUCAUGCCUCUUACACCUAGGGCCUCAUAGAUAAUACAAUGGGUAGGUACAGCGAGAAGCGAUACCGCGAGGUGGAGCAAAUCUUUAAAACUACCCCUAGUUCGGAUUGUAGUCUGGAACUCGACUACAUGAAGUUGGAAUUGCUAGUAAUGGCAGAUCAGCCAUGCUGCCGUGAAUAUGUCCCUGUUCCUUGCACUCACCGCCCGUCAAACCAUGGGAGCUGAGGUUCUUUGAAGACUCAUUAUAUGGGUUAAGGAGGAAAUCAGUGACUGGGGUUAAGUCGUAACAAGGCAUCCCUACCGGAAGGUGGGGAUA
rnacentral:rRNA from 1 species